rnacentral:rRNA from 1 species
GAGUUUGAUCAUGGCUCAGAUUGAACGCUGGCGGCAUGCCUUACACAUGCAAGUCGAACGGCAGCAUGAUCUAGCUUGCUAGAUUGAUGGCGAGUGGCGAACGGGUGAGUAAUACAUCGGAACGUGCCCGUGUAGUGGGGGAUAACUAGUCGAAAGAUUAGCUAAUACCGCAUGCGACCUGAGGGUGAAAGUGGGGACCGCAAGGCCUCAUGCUAUAGGAGCGGCCGAUGUCUGAUUAGCUAGUUGGUGGGGUAAAGGCCCACCAAGGCGACGAUCAGUGGCUGGUCUGAGAGGACGAUCAGCCACACUGGGACUGAGACACGGCCCAGACUCCUACGGGAGGCAGCAGUGGGGAAUUUUGGACAAUGGCGAAAGCCUGAUCCAGCAAUGCCGCGUGUGUGAGAAGG